UACAGAGGGUGCGAGCGUUGUUCGGAAUUAUUGGGCGUAAAGGGCGCGUAGGCGGUGCGGUAAGUCACCUGUGAAAUCUCCUGGCUCAACUGGGAGCUUGCAGGCGAAACUGCCGUGCUGGAGUGUGGGAGAGGUGCGUGGAAUUCCUGGUGUAGCGGUGAAAUGCGUAGAUAUCAGGAGGAACACCUGUGGCGAAAGCGGCGCACUGGACCAUUACUGACGCUGAUGCACGAAAGCUAGGGGAGCAAACAGG
rnacentral:rRNA from 1 species